UUGCCUUACAAAAACAUCCGCCUGGGUACUACGAGCACAGCUUAAAACCCAAAGGACUUGGCGGUGCCCCAGAUCCCCCUAGAGGAGCCUGUUCUAGAACCGAUAACCCCCGUUGAACCUUACCAUCCCUUGUUUUUCCCGCCUAUAUACCGCCGUCGUCAGCUUACCCUGUGAAGGCACUACAGUAAGCAAAAUGAGUAACACCCAAAACGUCAGGUCGAGGUGUAGCGUACGAGAUGGAAAGAAAUGGGCUACAUUUUCUAUUACAGAAUACCACGAAUAGCACCUUGAAACAAGUGCUUGAAGGCGGAUUUAGCAGUAAAAAGCAAGCAGAGCGUCCUUUUGAAUU
rnacentral:rRNA from 1 species